AAGCGUUCCUUGCAAAGUGCUAUGGAACAAUCAUGUUCCCAGCGAUUCCAUUGUUGGUUCCCACCGAUUCCUUUCAAAAAAUGUGGAGGUUAAAAAUUGUCCAUCCUUGAAAUCGUUGUUUGAUUUUGGGUCCCUAGAUUCAAAUACGAAACAAAAGGCGGUAUUGCUCCCUGAAUUGGUAAGCAUCGACGUGGAAAGCUGUCCCUCCUUGGAAUCGUUAUUUAAUUGUAGGUCCCUUGAUUCAAAUGUAGAACACAAAAUUAUAUUGCUCCCCAAAUUGGAGAAAGUGAGGGUGAGUGGAGCAAAAAAGCUGAGACACAUGGUCAUGAGCCACUCCCAAAUAGUUUUGGGUUUUCCUAGUCUUGAAAUUGUCAGUGUUGAGGAUUGCUCUGACUUGAGAUAUCUCUUCCCUAAUUAUACGGCCACAACUUUGGAGAAACUUCAACGGCUAACAAUUAGUAAAUGCGAACAGAUGAAGGAAGUGAUUCUCGAGAAAGAAGCUGGUCCAUCAGAGGCAAAAGGGAUGAGUUUCCCUUGCUUAAGUAACUUAACACUUCAGGAGCUCGAUAACCUGAUUAGUUUCAGUUCAGGAAGUGUAAAGAGGCAGUCAAGCGAGAAAGCCGAAGAAAAUGAUCAAUCGCCACAACCCUUGUUCAAUGAGAUGGUUCGUUUUAUUCUUUGAUGUGAUCAUUCGUAUUCUCACAUUAUCAUGUUUUAUAAUGAAGAAUGUAAUAAAUUUGUCCAACUUAUCCUCUUUCCUCACAUUAUCCUUGUGUAGGUCACAUUUCCCAAUAUGAGAGAUUUAGAAAUUGAAGGCGUUCCUUGCAAAGUGCUAUGGAACAAUCAUGUUCCCACCGAUUCCAUUGUUUGUUCCCACCGAUUCCUUUCAAAAAAUGUCAAGGUUAAAAAUUGUCCAUCCUUGAAAUCAUUGUUUGAUUUUGGGUCCCUAGAUUCAAAUACCGAACAGAACGGAGUAUUGCUCCCUGAAUUGGUAAGCAUCGAUGUGGAAAGCUGUCCCUCCUUGGAAUCGUUAUUUAAUUGUAGGUCCCUAGAUUCAAAUGCGGAACACAAAAUUAUAUUGCUCCCCAAAUUGGAGAAAGUAAGGGUGAGUGGAGCAAAAAAGCUGAGACAUGUUAUGAUGAGCCCCUCCCAAAUAGUUUUGGGUUUUCCUAAUCUUGAAACUGUUAGGGUUGAGAAUUGCUCUAACUUGGGAUAUCUCUUCCCUAAUUAUACGGCCACAACUUUGGCGAAACUUCAGUGGCUAAUAAUUAGUAAAUGCGAACAGAUGAAGGAAGUGAUUCUUGAGAAUGAAGCUGGUCCAUCAGAGGCAAAAGUGGUGAAUUUUCCUUGCUUAAGUAACUUAACACUUCAGGGGCUCGAUGACCUGAUUAGUUUCAGUUCAGGAAGUGUCAAGAGGCAGCUAAGUGAGAUAGCUGAGGAAAAUGACGAAUCGCCACAACCGCUGUUCAAUGAGAUGGUUUGUUCUAUUCUUUAUUAUGAUCAUUCAUAUUCUCGCAUUAUCAUGUUUUAUAAUGAAUAAUGUAAUAAAUUUGUCCAACUUAUCCUCCUUUCUCACAUUAUCCUUGUGCAGGUCACAUUUCCCAAUAUGAGAGAUUUAGAAAUUGAAGGCGUUCCUUGCAAAGUGCUAUGGAACAAUCAUGUUCCCACCGAUUCUAUUGUUGGUUCCCACCGAUUCUUUUCAAAAUAUGUCAAGGUUAAAGAUUGUCCAUCCUUGAAAUCGUUGUUCAAUUUUGGAUCCUUAGAUUCAAAUACGAAACAAAAUGCAGUAUUGCUCCCUGAAUUGGUAAGCAUCGAUGUGGAAAGCUGUCCCUCCUUGGAAUCGUUAUUUAAUUGUAGGUUCCUUGAUUCAAAUGUGGAACACAAAAUGAUAUUGCUCCCCAAAUUGGAGAGAAUGAGGGUGAGUGGAGCGAAAAAGCUGAGACACGUGGUCAUGAGCGACUCUCAAAUAGUUUUGGGUUUUCCUAGUCUUGAAACUAUUAGGGUUGAGAAUUGCUUUGACUUAAGAUAUCUCUUCCUUAACUAUACGGCCACAACUUUGGAGAAACUUGAGUGGUUAACAAUUAGUAAAUGCGAACAGAUGAAGGAAGUGAUUCUUGUGAAAGAAGCUGGUCCAUCAGAGGCAAAAGUGAUGAGUUUCCCUUGCUUAAGUUACUUAGCACUUCAGGGGCUUGAUAACCUGAUUAGUUUCAGUUCAGGAAGUAUACAGAGGCAGUCAAGCGAGACAACCGAAGAAAAUGAUCAAUUGCCACAACCCUUGUUCAAUGAGAUGGUUUGUUCUAUUCUUUACUGUGAUCAUUCGUAUUCUCACACUAACAUGUUUUAUAAUGAAGAUUGUAAUAAAUUUGUCCAACUUAUCCUCCUUUCUCACAUUAUCCUUGUGCAGGUCACAUUUCCCAAUAUGAGAUAUUUAGAAAUUGAAGGCGUUCCGUGUAAAGUGCUAUGGAACAAUCAUGUUCCCACCGAUUCCAUUGUUUGUUCCCACCGAUUCCUUUCAAAAAAUGUCGAGGUUAAAAAUUGUCCAUCCUUGAAAUUGUUGUUUGAUUUUGGGUCCCUAGAUUCAAAUACGAAACAAAAUGCAGUAUUGCUCCCUGAAUUGGUAAGCAUCUACGUGGAAAGUUGUCCCUCCUUGGAAUCAUUAUUUAACUGCAGGUCCCUUGAUUCGAAUAUGGAACACAAAAUUAUAUUGCUUCCCAAAUUGGAGAGAAUGAUGGUGAGUGGAGCAAAAAAGCUGAGACACGUUGUCAUGAGCGACUCUCAAAUAGUUUUGGGUUUUCCUAGUCUUGAAACUAUCAUGGUUGAGAAGUGCUCUGACUUGGGAUAUCUCUUCCCUAAUUCUACGGCCACAACUUUGGAGAAACUUGAGUUGCUAACAAUUAGUAAAUGCGAACAGAUGAAGGAAGUGAUUCUUGAGAAAGAAGCUGAUCCAUCAGAGGCAAAAGUGAUGAGUUUCCCUUGCUUAAGUUACUUAACACUUCUGGGGCUCGAUAACCUGAUUAGUUUCAGUUUAGGAAGUGUCAAGAGGCAGCUAGGCGAGACAGUCGAAGAAAAUGAUGAAUCACCACAACCGUUGUUCAAUGAGAUGGUUUGUUCUAUUCUUUAUUGUGGUCAUUCAUAUUCUCACAUUAUCAUGUUUUUUUUUUUUUGGUAAAGUUAUCAUGUUUUAUAAUGAAGAAUGUAAUAAAUUUGUCUAGCUUAUCCUCCUUUCUCACAUUAUUCUUGUGCAGGUCACAUUUCCCAAUAUGAGAUAUUUAGAAAUUGAAGGCGUUCCUUGCAAAGUGCUAUGGAACAAUCAUGUUCCCACCGAUUCCAUUGUUGGUUCCCACCAAUUCCUUUCAGAAUAUGUCGAGGUUAAAAAUUGUCCUUCCUUGAAAUCGUUGUUUGAUUUUGGGUCACUAGAUUCAAAUACGGAACAAAAUGCAGUAUUGCUCCCUGAAUUGGUAAGCAUCUACGUGGAAAGCUGUCCCUCCUUGGAAUUAUUAUUUAAUUGUAGGUCCCUUGAUUCAAAUGUGGAACACAAAAUUAUAUUGCUCCCCAAAUUGGAGACAAUGACGGUGAGUGGAGCAGAAAAGCUGAGACACGUUGUUAUGAGCUACUCUCAAAUAGUUUUGGGUUUUCCUAGUCUUGAAACUGUCAGAGUUGAGAAUUGCUCUAACUUGGGAUAUCUCUUCCCUAAUUAUACGGCCACAACUUUGGAGAAACUUGAGUGGCUAACAAUUAGUAAAUGCGAACAGAUGAAGGAAGUGAUUCUUGAGAAAGAAGUUGGUUCAUCAGAGGCAAAAGUGAUGAGUUUCCCUUGCUUAAGUAACUUAACACUUCAGGGGCUCGAUAACCUGAUUAGUUUCAGUUCAGGAAGUGUCAAGAGGCAGCUAGGCGAGACAGCCAAAGAAAAUGAUGAAUUGCCACAACCGCUAUUCAAUGAGAUGGUUUGUUCUAUUCUUUAAUGUGAUCAUUCGUAUUCUCACAUUAUCAUGUUUUAUAAUGAAGAAUGUAAUAAAUUUGUCCAACUUAUCCUCGUUUCUCACAUUAUCCUUGUGCAGGUCACAUUUCCCAAUAUGAGAGAUUUAAAAAUUGAAGGCGUUCCAUGCAAAGUGCUAUGGAACAAUCAUGUUCCCACCGAUUCCAAUAUUUGUUCCCACCGAUUCCUUUCAAAAAAUGUCAAGGUUAAAAAUUGUCCAUCAUUGAAAUCGUUGUUUGAUUUUAGGUUCCUAGAUUCAAAUACGGAACAAAAGGCGAUAUUGCUCCCUGAAUUGGUAAGCAUCGACGUGGAAAGCUGUCCCUCGGAAUCAUUGUUUAAUUGUGGGUCCCUUAAUUCAAAUGUGGAACACAAAAUUAUAUUUCUCCCAAAAUUGGUGAAAGUGAGGGUGAGUGGAGCAAAAAAGCUAAGACACGUUGUCAUGAGCAACUCCCAAAUAGUUUUGGGUUUUCCUAGUCUUGUAACUGUCAUGGUUGAGAAUUGCUCUGACUUGGGAUAUCUCUUCCCUACUUAUACAACCACAACUUUGGAGAAACUUGAGUGGCUAACAAUUAGUAAAUGUGAACAUAUGAAGGAAGUGAUUCUCGAGAAAGAAGCUAGUCUAUCAGAGGCAAAAGUGAUGAGUUUCCCUUGCUUAAGUUAUUUAACACUUCAGGGGCUCGAUAACCUGAUUAGUUUUGGUUCAGGAAGUUGUUCAUAUUAUUUUUCCUCCUUAAAAGAUCUAAGAAUUGUGGGGUGCUAUAACUUUGGAACGUUCAUCCCGAGUCCCACAAGUGUCAAGAGGCAGCGAGGCAAGAUGGCCGAAGAAAAUGAUGAAUCGCCACAACCGCUAUUCAAUGAGAUGGUUUGUUCUACUCUUUAUUGUGAUCAUUCGUAUUAUGGCUUUAUCAUUUAUAAUAAGAAUGUAAUAAAUUUGUUCUACUUAUCCUCCUUUUUCACGUUAUCCUCAUGUAGGUUACAUUUCCUAUUAUAACAAGUCUCAAAAUUGAGGGCCUUUGGUGCAAAGAGUUAUGGAACAAUCAAAUUCCCACAGAUUCCUUUCAGAAGUUGGAAUCUCUUGAAUUGAAUAACUGUGACUAUCUCCAACAUAUUGCCACUUCGUAUAUGUGGAAGAAGCUACAACGCUGUCUCGAGAAACUAGAAGUGAUUUCAUGCCGUUUGAUCGAGAUCAUAUACGAAGGUAUUGGGAUGGAUGUAGAGAGUGGUAGAUUGAGGAGGCUGGUUUUGCGUGAUCUUGAAAACUUGAGGGGCAUUUGGCAGUUCGACAGUCUCCCAAACAUCCCAUUCCCAAAUUUGAGAGACAUAGAGGUUGUGAGGUGCCCUCGUUUGGAAAUGCUUUUCCCUACCUUCACAGCGAAAUUUCUCGGGCAAAUCGAAAAGCUGGUGGUGGAGUCAUGUGAAGAUAUGAAACAAAUUGCUAGCUAUGAAAAAUGGGAAGAAGGGACCUGCACCACAAUCACCUUCUCUAAGUUAACUACUCUUAGAGUCUUCAAGUUGCCGAAAUUCAGGAGCUUCUUACCUGAGAAAUACUCUCUGAAAUUGCCGUGCUCCAAGGACUUCCCAUCCUUGCAAGUCUUGAGUAUAGAAAGUUGUGGAGCAAAGCCGGACCAAGUCCUUGGUAAUUGGGGAUUCCACGAAAUGGAACCAAAUUCACAUGCAUUUAUAGAACUCCAGGUAUUCCUUUAAUAUUUCAUUUCUUUGGUUUGGCUCUCUGUUCCUUUGAAUAGAAAAUCAAUUUAUAUUAGCUAAAACACAAUUCUUAGUGGGACCCACACAUACUUUGGUCCUCUCUCUCUCUCUGUGUCUCUCUCUCUCUCUGGGUGCGUUUGGCAACUUGCCAAAUAGUAACAAUUUCUAUUCUCGUGUUCCUGGAAGUAGAUUUGGAACGGAAAUUGAUUUAGUAAAAUUUUUAUUACCGAAAACAAAUUUCUAUUUUUUGUUCCCAAAAAUAUAUUUUUAACAAAAUUAAGAAAUAAAAAAAAGAUGUUUCUUUGUUCCAGAGAACAAUUUUAGAAUCAAGCCAACUCAUUUUUUUCUCUUUACUCUUCUUUCUUCUUGUUCUUAUUACCUCUCUUCUCUUCUUCAGUUGCACCAUCCAUUGUCCCUGAACACCAGCGAUCUCACCAGGCCAAGGCAAGGUCCGACGAGCUCGAGAUGUUUGAAGCGUGCAACCCGAGUCCGAGAAGUGUCAAGAGGCAACUAGGCAAGAUGGCCGAAGAAAAUGAUGAAUCGCCACAACCGCUGUUCAUUGAGAUGGUUCGUUUUAUUCUUUACUUCUAUUCUUUACUGUGAUCAUUCGUAUUCUUGCAUUAUCAUGUUUUAUAAUGAAGAAUGUAAUGAAUUUGUCCUACUUAUCCUCUGCUCUCACCUUAUCCUUGUGCAAGUCACAUUUCCCAAUAUAAGAUAUCUAAAAAUUGAGGACGUUCAAUGCAAAGAGCUAUGGAAUAAUCAUGCUCCUGCCGAUUACAUCGUUUGUUCCCACCAAUUCCUUUUAUUUGAGGUUAAAAAUUGUCCAUCUUUGAAAUCGUUGUUUGAUUUUGGGUCUCUAGAUUCAAAUACCGAACAAAAGGCGGUAUUGCUCCCUGAAUUGGUAAGCAUCGACGUGGAAAGCCGUCCCUCCUUGGAAUCGUUGUUUAAUUAUGGGUCCCUUGAUUCAAAUACGGAACACAAAGUUAUAUUGCUUCCCAGAUUGGAGAGAGUGAGGGCGAGUGGAGCAAAAAAGCUGAGACACGUGGUCAUGAACCGCUCCUAAAUAGUUUUGGGUUUUCAUAGUCUUGAAAUUUUCAGUGUUGAGGAUUGCUCUAACUUGAGAUAUCUCUUCCCUAAUUAUACGACCACAACUUUGGAGAAACUUCAAAGGCUAACAAUUAGUAAAUGCGAACAGAUGAAGGAAGUGAAUCUCGAGAAAGAAGCUGGUCCAUCAGAGGCAAAAGUGAUGAGUUUCCCUUGCUUAAGUUACUUAGCACUUCAGGGGCUUGAUAACCUGAUUAGUUUCAGUUCAGGAAGUGUAAAGAGGUAGUCAAGCGAGACAGCCGAAGAAAAUGAUGAAUCGCCACAACCGCUGUUCAAUGAGAUGGUUCGUUCUACUCUUUACUGUGAUCAUUCGUAUUCUUAUAUUAUCAUAUUUUAUAAUAAAGAAUGUAAUAAAUUUCUCCAACUUAUCCUCCUUUGUCAUAAUAUCCUUGUGCAGGUCACAUUUCCCAAUAUGAGAAAUUUAGAAAUUGAAGGCGUUCCAUGCAAAGUGUUAUGGAACAAUCAUGUUCCCACCGAUUCCAUUGUUUGUUCCUACUGAUUCCAUUCAAAAACUGUCGAGGUUAAAAAUUGUCCAUCCUUGAAAUCGUUGUUUGAUUUUGGGUCCCUAGAUUCACAUAUGAAACAAAAGGCAGUAUUGCUCCCUGAAUUGGUAAGCAUCGACGGUGGAAAGCUGUCCCUCGGAAUCGUUGUUUAAUUUUGUGUCCUUUGAUUCAAAUGGGGAACAAAAAAUUAUAUUGCUCCCAAAAUUGGAGAAAGUGAGGGUGAGUGGAGCAAAAAAGCUAAGACACGUUGUCAUGAGCCACUCCCAAAUAGUUUUGGGUUUUGCUAGUCUUGACACUGUCAGGGUGGAGAAUUGCUCUAACUUGGGAUAUCCCUUCCCUAGUUAUAUGGCCACAACUUUGGAGAAACUUUAGUGGCUAACGAUUAGAAAAUGCGAACAGCUGAAGGAAGUGAUUCUCAAGAAAGAAGCUAGUCCAUUAGAGGCAAAAGUGAUGGGUUUCCCUUUCUUAAGUAACUUAACACUUCAGGGUCUCGAUAACCUGAUUAGUUUCUGUUCAAGAAGUGUCAAGAGACAGCUAGGGGAGACAGCCGAAGAAAAUGAUGAAUCGCAAUAACCGCUGUUCAAUGAGAUGGUUUGUUCUAUUUUUUACUGUGAUCAUUCGUAUUCUCACAUUAUCAUGUUUUAUAAUGACGAAAGUAAUAAAUUUGUCCAACUUGACCUCCUUUCUCACAUUAUCCUUGUGCAGGCCACAUUUCCCAAUAUGAGAGACUUAGAAAUUGAAGGCGUUCCUUGCAAAGUGCUAUGGAACAAUCAUGUUCCCACCGAUACCUUUCGAAAAAUGUUGAGGAUAAAAAUUGUCCAUCCUUGAUAUUGUUUUUCGAUUUUGGGUUGUGGCAUCCUAGAAUUUCAUGACAACCUCUAGAUGUGCUAUGAACCAUGGAUAGGUGAUGGAAGUACCAUCAAGUUAUGUUGUAGCCAUUUGAUCCAUAAUUUGCAAUAAGAUUAAGGCCAAGCUUUUCAAUGGAUAAUUAUUUGAUAGGAAAGAAAUUCUAUUCUUGGCCAUGUGUUUUAUAAGUUGAAAUUUAUUUAUUUAUGAUGCAAAGUUUUAUGGCCAAUUGAAUAAGUGUAAUUAUGUAUUUAUAUAAGUGGGGAUUUAGAAUAGAUUAUUAAAAGAGGAAGUGGGCCAAAAUUCUUAGGCCAAGACCAGCCCACAAGAGCCCCACCGUUCGGCCAUUAGGGCCUGGCCCGCGAAGCCCAAAAGGGAAGGGGCUGCUGUCGUCCGAAGGAGGGAGAGGCCCGGCCCAAGGGAGGCCCAUCAACCUGCAUGUAAAUCCCCAAGUGGCAAGAGAAGCUUGCCAAUUGUUAGUCCAUUGUAGCCAAGUGGCAAUUACCUUGCAAAAUCAAAUGAUUGCUAAUGAUGAGGGGGAAGGAAAAGAGGAGAGGCGGAUUGGGAGAGAGGGUUACCGUCCGAGAGAGAGAGAGAGAGAGAGAGAGAGAGAGAGAGAGAGAGCUGUUGUGCGAGAGAAGAAGAGAGGAAGAGAGAAAGGAAGAGGGAGGCCGUUCGCUGCCGUGCGUGCCAUCGAGUCCCGCCGUCAAGCCACCUCGCCCCACCAUUUGCUUGCUAUGUUUUGCUUGGAUUAGAGGCAAGUAGAGUCCAUUGAUCUACCCUUUGCUUGCUAUGUUUUGUGUGUGAUGAAUGAUGAAUUUCGGAUGUGGAUGAAGUGUGAAAUUUCGAAGUUAUUGGAGUUGUGUUCUAGCCUGGUAUUCUGUUUCUAGAAAAAUAGUCCGACCUUUGGUGAUUUCGUGAGUUUCAUGCAAUGUUCUAGUUGGAAUCUGACUUUGAAUUCUUGAUGAAAGUUGUGGAGGACUUCUUGGAGAAUAACAUUACAAAAUUUGAAAGGAAACAGACAAGUAUAGGUUGAUGAAACCAUUUUUCUUUGAUGAAGCUAGAUCAGGAAACUGUUAUGAUGCUCUAUUGGGAUUCUGUGAAUUUCGUACAAGUAUCCAGUCCGAAUUUGAUAUCAUGUUCUUGAUGAGAGUUGUAGACGACAUAUUGAGGAGCAACAUCCUAAAAUUUGAGGAUAAACAAACAAGUAAUGAUUGGGGAAAAUGAUUUUCUUUGAAAAGGAUGAAUCUGGACAGUGAACCGAGAGAUAGAAAGAGUUACAAAAAUUAUAACUUUUAAUAAAGAAGGAAUUAAACUUUAAUUUUUUCAUGAGACUUUUACCUUUAGAUCUCAGCUAUGACAUAUUAAAAUUUCAGAAUUUUUGGAGUUCAUCUAAGGGCUUAAUCGAAAUUAUUUCCGAAACUGUGCAAAAGUGGUGCUGGAAUUUCUUCUGCUGUGAUGUGUGGAUCUAUGUGAUUGAUGUGGAACUUUCUUGACACGGUGUUCUUCAUGAAAUAUCUUCCUCUGGAUCUUGUUUACAUCAUGUUAAAUUUUUAGAAUUUAUUGAGAUUUUUUACUAAUUUUCCAAGAAUUCUUACUAAAGAGGUGCAUUCUGUUUUAUCCGAAAAUUGGUUCGAGUUUCAAAAACCAAUGAAUUUCUUUAUGAAAUGUGAUAUCAUGGGUGGUUAUGUGUACUGCAUAUAUGGUGAUGUUUGGCAUAUCAUAUGAUAUCAAAAAGCUGGUUUAGACCUUUGAUAUUGUGGCAUCAAAUGCCAUGAUGAAAAUGAGACAUAUAUGUGAUUAUAUAUUGUCAUAAUAAUGAUAUUGUCGGAGGUGUGAGCCGACGAUGCCUCGGGAGUUUCGAGAUGCCUGGAGGUUUGUGCCGGAGGUCCUCGGGAGUUUCGGGAUGCCCGGAGGUUUGUGCCGAAAGCCCUGGAGGUUUGCACCGGGGGGAUUCCUCGUGAUGUUAGUUGGGAUGCGAGAUACCCGGAGGUUUGUGCCGGAGGCUCCUUGCGACGCCAGGUUGGGUGCAAGCGAUAAAUUGAGGGAUGCAAACAUUGGUCCCUGGAAGAAAAAUGAAGAGAUCCUUGUGAAAGAUAAAUAUUAAAAUUGAAUCAUGUGCAUGGGUAUAUGCAUAUGGCAUGAUGCAUGAUCUGCUUAUGAAAGUGAAUUGAUGCUAUUUGACAUUGAGAAUGCGAUCAUGAAAGCUUGAAUGGAUCUCAUGAGGAUGUAUACAUGAUGGCAUGGAUGAUAUGAAUCAUGCGUAUGAAUGUGCAUAUAGCAUGUGAUGAACCUCAUGGAAAUACAAGUAUGAUUGCGUGGUGGUAUAUGCAUGAUGGCAUGGUGAGAUAUGCAUGACUGCAUGGUGAUAUAUGCACGACCGCAUGGUGAUGUAUGCUCGAUAGCAUGAAUGAUAUGCGCUUUACUUGUGAUGUCUUGAUUGUCUUGCUUGUUGCAUUGUGUAGUUUUAUGGAUCUUUACUGCUAAGUGGUUGUACUCACCCCUUUGGGGACUAACAUUUCAGAUUGAGUGAUGCCUCUAGCACCUGUCACGUGUGGUACGUUUUAUGGAUUACCGUUUGAUGUAGAGGUCGAGUGCUCGGAGCACCCCUGCGUCGAUGUUCAUGGUUUGGUGUUUAUCAGCGUCCGUGUUUUAGUCAUGUACAAUGCGGGUUUACCUGAUGGCCUCGUAGUACAAGAGUUUCUGUCUGUCCAUGUUCGCCGAGAUGGUAGGAUGAUAGGGAUGCUGCUGCCGCCACCGGCCGAUGCACCGGGUUGGGUGUGAUAGGAGCAUGUGACUGGUGGAGGUUCACACUUUUUGGGAUGGCCCACACUAGCUGAUGGAUAGAUAUACACGUUUGAUGUAUAGUCGGGUUCUUUUUGGGUUUAGCCGAGCUUACUUAAAGUCUUGGCCCUUUUGUUAUGCCGACUUGUAAAAUCCAUCUUAGUAUGUAAAUAAAAGUGAUUUUGCCGCAAAAUGCAUAUAUAUAUGAAGGGUUGUAGUGGUGUGUAUUGCAUUGUAUCAUUUAGUUUGUGUACGAGUUUGGGAGGUGAUAAGUAUGCUUCCGUUAUAUGAACUGCGCUGGGACCGAUCUAAAAGAUGUAAACCCCCAGGAUUGAUAGACCUAAAGGUCAACCAAGAGAAUGGUAAAAGAAAUCUAUGGCAACCCUAGCGGAUCGGGGGCCGUGUCAAGGGGCGCUACAUGGGUCCCUAGAUUUAAAUACGGAACAAAACGCUGUAUUGCUCCUUGAAUUGGUAAGCAUCGAUGUGGAAAGCUAUCCCUCCUUGGAAUCAUUAUUUAAUUGUAGGUCCCUUGAUUUAAAUGUGGAACGCAAAAUUAUAUUACUCCCCAAAUUGGAGACAGUGAGGGUGAGGGGAGCAAAAAAGCUGAGACACAUGGUCAUGAGCCACUCCCAAAUAGUUUUGGAUUUUCCUAGUCUUGAAACUAUCUUGGUUGAGAAUUGUUUUGACUUGGGAUAUCUCCUCCCUAAUUUUACGGCCACAACUUUGGAGAAACUUGAGUUUCUAACAAUUAGUAAAUACAAACAGAUGAAGGAAGUGAUUCUCGAGAAUGAAGCUGGUCCAUCAGAGGCAAAAGUGAUGAAUUUCCCUUACUUAAGUAACUUAACACUUUAGGGCUCGAUAACCUGAUUAGUUUCAGUUCAGGAAGUGUCAAGAGGCAGCUAGGUGAGACAGCCAAGGAAAAUGAUAAAUCGCCACAACCGCUGUUCAGUGAGAUGGUUUGUUCUAUUCUUUAUUGUGAUCAUUCGUAUUCUCACAUUAUCAUGUUUUAUAAUGAAGAAUGUAAUAAAUUUGUCCAACUUAUCCUCCUUUCUCAUAUUAUCCUUGUGCAUGUCACAUUUCCCAAUAUGGGAGAUUUAGAAAUUGAAGGCAUUCCUUGCAAAGUGCUAUGGAACAAUCAUGUUCCCACCGAUUCUAUUGGUUGUUCCCACUGAUUCCUUUCAAAAUAUGUCUAGGUUAAAAAUUGUCCAUCCUUGAAAUUGUUGUUUGAUUUUGGGUCCCUCGAUUUAAAUACAGAACAAAAUGGAAUGUUGCUCCCUGAAUUGGUAAGCAUCGAUCUGGAAAGCUAUCCCUCCUUGGAAUCAUUACUUAAUUGUGGGUCCCUUGAUUCAAAUGUGGAACACAAAAUUAUAUUGCUCCCCAAAUUGGAGACAAUGAGGGUGAGUGGAGCAAAAAAGCUGAGACACGUUGUCAUGAGCCACUCCCAAAUAGUUUUGGGUUUUCCUAGUCUUGAAACUGUCAGGGUCGAGAAUUGCUCUGACUUGGGAUAUCUCUUCCUUAAUUAUAUGGCCACAACUUUGGAGAAACUUGAGUGGCUAACAAUUAGUAAAUGCGAACAGAUGAAGGAAGUGAUUCUCGAGAAAGAAGUUGGUCCAUCAGAGGCAAAAGUGAUGAGUUUCCCUUGCUUAAGUAACUUAACACGUCAGGGGCUCGAUAACCUGAUUAGUUUCAAUUCAAGAAGUGUCAAGAGGUAGCUAGGCGAGACAGCC
rnacentral:lncRNA from 1 species